rnacentral:rRNA from 1 species
UACAGAGGUGGCAAGCGUUGUUCGGAAUUACUGGGCGUAAAGGGCGCGUAGGCGGUGCGGUAAGUCACUUGUGAAAUCUCCGAGCUUAACUCGGAACGGCCAAGUGAUACUGCAGUACUAGAGUGCGGAAGGGGCAAUCGGAAUUCUUGGUGUAGCGGUGAAAUGCGUAGAUAUCAAGAGGAACACCUGAGGCGAAGGCGGGUUGCUAGGCUGACACUGACGCUGAGGCGCGAAAGCCAGGGGAGCAAACGGG